rnacentral:rRNA from 1 species
GACGGGGACCCGCACAAGCGGUGGAUGAUGUGGAUUAAUUCGAUGCAACGCGAAAACCUUACCUACCCUUGACAUGUCUGGAACCUUGGUGAGAGCCGAGGGUGCCUUCGGGAGCCAGAACACAGGUGCUGCAUGGCUGUCGUCAGCUCGUGUCGUGAGAUGUUGGGUUAAGUCCCGCAACGAGCGCAACCCUUGUCACUAGUUGCCAUCAUUUAGUUGGGCACUCUAGUGAGACUGCCGGUGACAAACCGGAGGAAGGUGGGGAUGACGUCAAGUCCUCAUGGCCCUUAUGGGUAGGGCUUCACACGUCAUACAAUGGUCGGUACAGAGGGUUGCCAAGCCGCGAGGUGGAGCCAAUCCCUUAAAGCCGAUCGUAGUCCGGAUCGUAGUCUGCAACUCGACUGCAUGAAGUCGGAAUCGCUAGUAAUCGCGGAUCAGCAUGUCGCGGUGAAUACGUUCCCGGGCCUU